rnacentral:rRNA from 1 species
GAUGAACGCUGGCGGCGUGCCUAAUACAUGCAAUUCGAGCGAACAGACGAGGAGCUUGCUCCUCUGACGUUAGCGGCGGACGGGUGAGUAGCACGUGGAUAACCUACCUAUAAGACUGGGAUAACUUCGGGAAACCGGAGCUAAUACCGGAUAAUAUAUUGAACCGCAUGGUUCAAUAGUGAAAGACGGUUUUGCUGUCACUUAUAGAUGGAUCCGCGCCGCAUUAGCUAGUUGGUAAGGUAACGGCUUACCAAGGCAACGAUGCGUAGCCGACCUGAGAGGGUGAUCGGCCACACUGGAACUGAGACACGGUCCAGACUCCUACGGGAGGCAGCAGUAGGGAAUCUUCCGCAAUGGGCGAAAGCUUGACGGAGCAACGCCGCGUGAGUGAUGAAGGUCUUCGGAUCGUAAAACUCUGUUAUUAGGGAAGAACAAAUGUGUAAGUAACUAUGCACGUCUUGACGGUACCUAAUCAGAAAGCCACGGCUAACUACGUG